AGGAGGAGAAUUCUGAUUAGGCUGCAUCCAAAAGCUGCCACCCACGGGACCCGGGGGAGAUAUGAAUUUGAAAAGACAGUGUAGUGCCGAUAUGAAGUGCCUGCAUUGCUGGGCAACAGGGACCCCUGUUAAGACCUGCUAUCCAGAGACCUGUCAGCAAAGAGACAGAGAGAGAGAGGGAAGGGGGUCUGCAUAUGAAAGCUGAAUGUGCAGCAACCCAGAUCCUUCAUUAAAGCAACUACAAGGAGUUUUGAACUGGUUAUUAAACGGUCUCAAAUUAAUACAGAUGCCUCUAUAUGACCCACAUAAGCAAACAAGACCAUCUGCGAGAAGAUUAGCUAAUUCUAUAUAGUUAUUCUAAAUGCCUGCCACCGGGUCAGAUUCCCUGCACAAUCAAACAAAAUGUGUCGUAUGUUAGUCAGUUAAAAGGAAGCAGGAGGAGAUUUUUCUUUAGAGAAUUUUAUUGACUUUAUAUUUUGUGGUUAUGACUGAUACUGGAGCAGGAUCAGCAAAGAGAAAAAGAAAAGAAUUGACAAAAGAGCAAAAAAAACGCUAAAAGGGACAGUGGGUAGAGCACGGGUGAAAACAUGUCAACCUUGAUUGGUCAUUCAACAGUUGGAGAGAAUCACAGGAUUUGAAAGGAUUCAAAACUGAUACUGAAUUCGCCUUCUUCCUCCUAGACAGGUAUGUAAUAUGUCUAUUUUAUUUAUAAAAUACAUUGCAAGAUGUGGUUUUACAUCAAUAUAUGAAUUUACGUUGGUGACUAAAACAAAGUUAGCUAACGCUAUGACUAACGUUAGUUGAAUGUAGCUAACGUUAGCUGCUACACUCAUGAAAUCAAUAUCCAGCCUGUUUUAAUUUCUAGUUAAAUAUGUAAGUGCAUGUGAUAAUAGCUUUUGUUAAACAGCAUGCUAAUUUGCCAUGGGAAUCAGUGUCACAGAUACACAUACAAGUAAUUCAUAAGGUUUUUUUUUUUAGUGUCUUCCUCCUUUUGAGUGGGGAAAGUGUUUUUUGUCUUUGAAGAUGGUGCAGCAAGGUUGCCUAAAAAUUUAUUAUUCCAUCAUUUCCCUCGAGAUGAUUGCUGGCAAAGAGACUCAGCUGUCUGAGGGAGAGGAUGGCAGGGGAAAAAUGCCAAAUACUCUUUAAAUGACCUUGAUGAUGGCUUGUUCUGGUGUGUUUCUGACUUAAACAGUAUUUUCCAGUUGUAUGACUCUGCAUACAUACACAUACUCAAACUGUAGUCAUUCUGUAAGUAAUAAAGAUGCAUUGUCUGUUUUUGCUCACUCCUUUAUUCACUGUCAUUCAGGAGUUGCUGGGGAAAUAUUUGCUGUAACUCUUGUGCAGGGUGGCUCAGCGCCAAGGUUUUUACAAGAUUGGUGCUACAAUUUCCUUUUGACUGGAAACCUAAAAAAACAUUACCAGAGAUGAUGUACAUGACCUGGAGUUUUCAUCGUUGAUCAAGAUGGUAUGUUGCACAACAAAUUAUUGUAUCCUCGAAAUAAUGGUCUCAUGGAUAUUAUGGACUCACUGCAUUCGGUGCCGCAGAUCCUGGCUGAAGAAACAUCAGACUUUUUAUCUUGGACUGAACAAAUUCUCUAUACUCAGACAAAAUAACAAGGUUUAUAUUACAUUAUGUUAUAUGGUUUAACAUAAAUUAUGGAGCAAGUAUCAUGUCACAUUUAUUUUUGCCCCAUGGGAAGGCUGGGUCAAGGGAUCACCCUGUCGGCCAGUCUGCCUGUCUGUCCAAUACGUAGCUCCAAGGAAACAUAUCAAAUCUAUUGCUAUGAAAUUUGGUGAGCACAUUCAUUCUCAUUGUGAACCCUGUUAAUACUGGUGAUCUCAUGACCUCUCCUUCAGUGCCACUCUCAGACCAAAAUGUCAGCUUUGCACACGAGAUAUCAUGAAGUGUAUUUGAUUGGUGUAUUUGGUGACCACAUUCAUACUCCCCAAAGGAAGAUUUCUCCUAAUCGUGGUGACCUCAUGACAUUUGCUCUAGCGCCACCCUCAGGCCAAACAUUUGACUUGAACAAAUCUCUAAAUUUAGCAAAGUGAUUUGGAUUCCAUGGCAUUAUACAGUCAUGAAGUGUCUUGAAAGUCUAUUAAAUAUGAAAAAGCUUUCCAAACCUGAAAGUUUUGGAAUGCAAAUAUAUGUUGUAUUUCAUUAACAUCACCAAAAUUAUAUAAUACUAAAUGGCUAUAUAAUGUAUUAGAAAAUCAGAAUCUAAUGAAUGGAAUACCAAGGAGGAAUCGUGUAAUUACUUCUCUUGUAUCUCUCUGCCUCUUAUUUAUGCCUCAUCUCAGCUCUGCCCUGCAUCCUUUACCCUCCCUCUACUUCCUAAAAAUUACAGUCAUUGAAAAUAAUUAAAUUAAAAUAAUUACAUAAAAGUUUCAGAAUGUAGCUUUAGCGAAAGUUCAGUCAGGAAGACUAUCUUUUGCAUGCUCAGGUCUGUAGUUUUAUUUCUCAAACCAUCUAUCAUUCCCAUCCCUCACACAUGCUCGCUCAUAAUUUCCUUCCUGUCAUUACCCAGGGUGUCAAUUAAGACUUCAGCUUUUCACAUCAGCUGGUCACAUCUAACCAAUAGCACGGUGACACAGCUUCCUUGUCAGCCUUGUCAUCAUGUCUUUUUAAAUAUACUUUCUCCUUCUCUGCCUUAGUGCUUUCCUGUUGCCGUUAUGCGCACCCCACCAACUCCCCAUCACCGCCUAGUCUUUGCAGAUUCAUCAGUGCAUCACUUCAUCCACCUCAUCAACCUUAUCAGUCUCAGCAGAAGUCAUCAGCUGCCAACACCACCAGUGUCUGGACUCCAUGGGAGGGAUUUAUCUUGCUGCUGCUCGGGACUGAUGUCCCUCGAUUCAAAAUCUCCCUGCAGAGUCUAAGCGCCAAAGACUUUUGACAAGACUUAAUCAUCAGUAUCAUCUGUAUAAUAUAUAAUUGUUUUUGCUUCAUUCACUUGUCUCUCCUGAUUGAAAUAAAUGUGGGAACCCUGUACAUGACAUCUGUUUUUCUCUUGUAUCCAUAUGAAGAACAAUUCUGCUGCACUGAGCUGCAAGACGAAGUGUCAUGCUAAGGCAACUUCAUGAGGGACUGCAACUUUACAGCCCGAUAGGUGUCAUGGAAAGGAACAGAGCGCUUUUCCAUGGCCUCUUUGUGGCUGGCUAUAAUGAUAAGUGGACUUCAUUGUGAUGCACUUGGCCCCAGUGAUGAGUGAAAGUGGUACACAGAAGCAUGCAAGAGAGGCACAAAUCCUAAAUAACUCCCUGGAUUUCCUGCAAGAGCUUGAGGGCAAGUGUUUAAACCAUAAGCAGAAACUGGGAGAUAAAUCUGGUAUGCAAGCCAGCAUGCUUUCCUGGCUAUUCUGACCCACAAUCCUUGGCAGAGCGGAAGACAGGUCAGAUCGACUGAGCCAUCGAGAGAGCACAGACAGAUGGCAGCGCAUUGACAGUGCAAUGACGGAAGCCAGUGCAACAACACGACAAUGCAACUCCUCUGUGAUCUAUUCCCCUUAGAUAAUGUGGCAUGGCGUUCUACACCACGGAAGGGGCAAGCACCAGUGGUCUUUUGGCAGCUGUGACCAAUGGUCCACUUGAUGAGGGCAGUAGAGAUAAGCCAUGGAUGGUGCAAGGCUCUAGCAGCGAUCGUCCUGGAUAAACGAUGGCUCAAGGAUGUCAAGGAGUUUAUCAACUUUUGCACAGCAUCAGCAGUGUUUCAAAACCUCAUACUCAUGCAAGCUGGAAAGCGCUUUGCAUACGGCCCACCGGUGUAUGAGGUACACACUCUUCUCACAGCAACAGACUAUAACCACCAGAACCACCAGCCUGCUUCACAGAACUCUGAGGGCAACAGGAUGAACCAAACGGGCGGUCGUGUGGAUGAAGUGAAAGACAACGUUUUAAUUGAGUUGACGACAACUGUGCUCGUCAUGAGUAAAAAGCCAAUAAGUACUUUAUCAAACCACCUGUUCAACAAGCAUAAACAUGUAGAAAAGCGAUAUUUUCAACUGCUUUGCCUACAAUGUCCCGUCCACCACCGGUAUGUUUUACACAACCACAGUGCGCUAGUUAAGCUACUAACACGAAAGCUGUCUGUAUGUAGCUUAACUGUUUAUUUAAGUUUGUCAUGUAUCUUAAAAUUUGUCAGAUUCUUGUAAACUUUGCUGCUGACUGAGAUGAACCAGCCCCUCCCUCCUCCUCUCUACUAGCGGUACCUGCAGGCAGUGAAUCACAUCAGCAGCAGAGGGAGGAGGACGGAGGACAGGAGGAAAGACUGCCUGCGCAGAGAGCAGCUGUGCACAUACCCCUUGAAUCAAGUUGUGGUGACAGAUGGGUUGAAAUUGUAGCUAUGUCAUGUGUGGACUGUGUGUGUAGACUGUGCUUCAUAGACGAUGUGGCAACUUGGGUAAUGUCAGACAAACAUACAAAACUUAUCUAUCUGUGUGUAUGACGAUUAUUCAUAAUAAAGCUUGAGGGUCAUGCAAAUUACGGGAGUUUCCUGGGAGAAACAGUGAAACAGGAGCACAGCGGGAGAUGGGGUGAAAAUACAGGAGAAACCCAGGAAGAACAGGAGUGUUAUAUUAUUUACUCACUGCAGAAUUGCCUCAAUUCAUGACAACUGAGAUGGAGGUAUAUAUAUUUCAUCAUAACUGAGCAGCAAAGGUUGGAUAUUGCCUAACGAGCAUAAUCUAUUUUGCAAGUGUGGCCGCUGUGUGAUUUUCAUCACACAGAGAAUACCCCAAUUCUAAAUGAUACUAUUCAUAAGAAUAACGGCACAUUUGGUCAGUAAUGAGUCCUAAGCCAUCACAAAAAUGACAGAAUAACUCCCCCGACAAUUCAGGGAAUGGAAAGUACUUCCAUCAUAUUGAAGAUGGCAUGACAGAUUUGCCUCUGUUGUGAAGAGUUGUAAAUCUUGAAUAAUAA